AGUAUCAACUGUUACUUCCUCACAAGAAGACUCCUGCACCUGGUCAAGAUGGUCUCCACAGCUGUGAUGAUGAUGGUGUUGGUGUUGGCUGGUGUCCUGGUGGUGGUCCUGGCCAGACCUGAGGCAGCACCUCUGCCUCUCCCUGGAUAUCUUCGCUAUGGUGGAUAUGGCGGCUAUGGUGGAUAUGGUGGAUAUGGUGGAUAUGGCGGAUUUGGACGUGGCUAUGGCGGAUAUGGAUUUGGACGUGGAUUUUAUGGAUACGGACGCUGAGGUUAAUGUCAGAGUUACACUGACGUACGUGGGACAACAUCAGUAGCCAUGUACUCUUAAUAACAAGUUUAUUCAACUUUUCACCUGUACUCAACCUGUCAAGAACACUUUAUUACCCUCAAUGUGUAUUAAAGUAAACUCUCGGUG